GUCCACGCCGUAAACGAUGAUAACUAGCUGUCCGGGCACUUGGUGCCUGGGUGGCGCAGCUAACGCAUUAAGUUAUCCGCCUGGGGAGUACGGUCGCAAGAUUAAAACUCAAAGGAAUUGACGGGGGCCUGCACAAGCGGUGGAGCAUGUGGUUUAAUUCGAAGCAACGCGCAGAACCUUACCAGCCUUUGACAUCCCGCGCUAUUUCCAGAGAUUGAAAGUUCCUUUCGGGGACGCGGUGACAGGUGCUGCAUGGCUGUCGU
rnacentral:rRNA from 1 species